CAUGACUAACAUCGUGUACAGGGACCCUUUCAAGAAGAAAGGGGAUGGGGAUGUCAAGUUCAGCCAAGGGAAUAUAGUCACUAACACUGAAUAGCUAUGUAUGCUAUCAGGUUCUUCAGUUAUGAAAGUACAACAAGUGGAUGGAGAAAUGGUUGAGUAGGAGAAGACAAAAAUGUGACAGUCCCCAUUGAAGACAACAGGCAAAGGUCUUGGAAUUUGAGUCAUGAGACUGGGGUCCUGCCAGGGCCUUGCCACUGGAGCAUUAUCUGCUGAUGGUUCACAGAUUCUUCUCACUCCAAGAAUUAUCCUCUGCUAAAGGAGUUGCCUCAAACUUAUAUAUUCUUCCAUAGGAGCAGCUCACCUCCAAUGACUGGUCAAUGUAAGACACAAAACCUAUCUCCAUUCCCUCAAUUUCAGACAGUUCUGAAGCUCUAGAACCAAUCACUUGUGAGGUCUAUUGCCAAGAGCUCUUUCCAAUAAACUUAU